AUGGCAGCCGUGGAAACUGGGGAAGUCGUCAAGGCGACAGCUCUCGCAAUCACAUCACCAGCCGGCGACAUGAAGAGCGACGGCACCCAAGAGCUACAACCGUCGCCGGCAAACGUCUCCCUGGACUUGGAGGAGGAGGAGGACGACGAGGAGCCCUUGAUCCGCAGCUUGCAGUACGACCUGUGGAUGCGGCUCAUCGUGGCGCACCAUAUCCAGAAGCUCAAGCUGGACAUGAAGAAGGACAUCGACAUCCACAGGUCCCUCCUCCGCGACAACGCCGGCGAGAGCGACAGGCUGCGGCGCAGUGUGCUGGCCAGUCUGAGGGCCAGAGAGUCGGAGCCCGACGACGACGACGGCACCGCAGAGGCCGACGUCGACGGGUCCGAGGACGAGGAGGAGCACCAGUCCGUCGCCCUUAGGGAGUUUAGGGACCUGUACGCCAGAGCCAGCGACGUGGACCGUCGCUUCGAGGAGUUCGACGCGAUCAUGUGGGCGCACUACGACCCCGACCUGGAGGACAACGAGACGCGCAAGGCCACCGUGGCGCGGCUGUGGCGCCGCCUGGAGAAGGAGCUCGAUGACCGAGCCGACGCCGUCGUCUCCGGCGCGUUCAACUACUCGUUUGCACCGCUCACGCCGAGGCACCAAUCGCUUGGCUAA
rnacentral:rRNA from 1 species